UCAAUUACCUUUGUUGUGGUAAACUUUUAAGUGUAAAACUUUUUGAUGAAGCUUUUUCAAAUGUACUUGAGGUUUCCUUCUAUUAUUCCAAUCACCUCCGGGCCUUUUUAGCUUAUUAUUCAUGAAGAUAAAUUAUAUGGUGACAUUUUCCUUCAUUCGUCUUAUCAUAACCCCUGCACUUAUCUAAUCUACAAGAGAUAUUACAGCCCAUUUCUGAUCGAAGCAAAAGUACCUUCCCCCUGUCUGUCAGCCUCUUUCCCGCACACAGAGUAAUUACCCAAUGCCUCCUCUGCCCAUCUUAUCACGCUGCUGGGUAAUUAAAGCCCUCACACUUUGCUGUCCCCAUCUUCAGUGAAUGAUUGGAGAAUUACACAAAGCCCAACCUGUGACCCCCAUUACCGUCAAAAACCGUAGCCGUUAAAGCUUUUGGAUGGAAACUUUGUGAGGCCUGUUUCUUUUUGUACAUUUUAUUUUGCUCUUACCUUAGCUCCGCUUGGUCCUGCAGGUCCAGCAGAUCCGGAAUCUCCAGCAGGACCCUGUUUGAACAAAUAAUUAACACAUUAGAGAACAAAGAGGAGGCUGAUUAGAAUGCAGAAGUUUUGAAUUUCUUACAGGAGGUCCAGGAAGACCCUGCAGACCCGUGAAUCCACGAUGACCCUUCUGUCCUCUCUCACCAGCUUCACCGCUUUCUCCCUUAUCUCCACGUGGUCCUUGGGGUCCCUGGAAUCAGGAAUGAAGUCUUACAUUUCAAAACUUCAAGCAGCACUCAACUAUAAUCUUUUCCAUCAGAAGCGGAUUAGAAGUUUUCAUUUCGUGGAGAUGAUACUUACAGCCAUUCCUCGUGCACCGGCAAGUCCAGGUGGUCCCGCAGGUCCUUGUGCACCCUGAUGAAAGAGGAGUCCAGGUUCAUAGGUCCGACAGGUCCAGGGGCACCGGGAGCACCAGGAGCACCAGGGGCACCAGCAGGACCAGUGUUACCUCGCUCUCCCUGCAGGAAAACACAAAAUACUGACUUAGUGACUUCACUGUCAUCAGGUUCUUCCAGCAAAGAACAGAGACAGUUUCUAAGAGUUUCUUAAGUUCGUUUUUCGGUUUUCUCUCACCUUGAUUCCAACAGAUCCAUCCCUACCGGGUGGUCCAUCUGAUCCGGGUGUACCCUGAAACACAGGAGGACUUUAUUCAAUACCUCAUGAUGAAUAUAAACAUAGUCGUUUAUGUGUUGGUUUGUCUUAAAUCCUCAUCACCCUACCUCUCUUCCAGUCUCUCCAGCAGGUCCAGUAAGUCCAGGGGGUCCUACAGGUCCGGGAGGUCCACGGUCACCAGAAGAGCCAGGACCUCCUUGUUUCCCAGGCUCACCCUGAACACGGAAAGGUCCAGGAAGGCCAGGGAAGCCUCUUUCUCCACGCUGACCAGGCAAACCGACAAUACCACGAGAUCCAGCCAGACCCUGAGGACCUGAGGGUCCAUCUGCACCCUACAGAGACAGAAAGGAUAGCAUCCAACACAGCUCUCCUCACAGCAGGAAGAAACUAAUCAGGGGGGGAACUCACAGGGGGUCCAUCUUCUCCGGGCUCGCCCUUCUCUCCUUGUGCGCCAGCAGGUCCUCGAAGGCCAGCAUCUCCCUGUCUUCCAGGGGGUCCAGCGUCACCACGGGCACCCUUUGGUCCAUCUUUGCCAGCAGGACCGGCAGGUCCAACAGAGCCAGGGUUACCCUGUGAUAUAGAAACAAGAUCUUUAGUCCUGGGAUGCCACCGGCUCCUCUCUCUCCAGGCAUACCCUGCAGGCCAGGGGGUCCCUGGGAUCCAGCAGCUCCAGCUGGUCCAAUGGCCCCCUAAAUCAGAAGUGUACCAGGAAGUCCACGAGGUCCCUGAAGACCCUGAGGACCAGCACCACCUCGCUCACCAGGGAAACCACGUUCACCCUAUCAGGAAACAAGUAGAAGAAAUGUAAUAUUAUACACCAGGAGCUCCACCUUCUCCAGGAACACCCUGCAGAGAGAGACCGGAGAUGAGUUCAUUCCAGGUUAAGGAAUCAUUUUAUACUCAAAGGGAUGUUCUGUUCUCUACGUUCUGUUCUGUACCAGCUCU